GUGCCAGCCGCCGCGGUAAUACGAAGGACCCAAGCGUUAUCCGGAUUUAUUGGGUUUAAAGGGUGCGUAGGCGGAUUUGUAAGUCAGUGGUGAAAUCCUGCAGCUUAACUGCAGAACUGCCAUUGAAACUGCUUAUCUUGAGUACAUUUGAGGCGGGCGGAAUGUGUCAUGUAGCGGUGAAAUGCUUAGAUAUGACACAGAACACCGAUUGCGAAGGCAGCUCGCUAAACUGUAACUGACGCUGAUGCACGAAAGCGUGGGGAUCCAACAGGAUUAGAAACCCGUGUAGUCC
rnacentral:rRNA from 1 species